GACGAACGCUGGCGGCGUGCUUAACACAUGCAAGUCGAACGGUAAGGCCCUUCGGGGUACACGAGUGGCGAACGGGUGAGUAACACGUGGGUGAUCUGCCCUGCACUUCGGGAUAAGCCUGGGAAACUGGGUCUAAUACCGGAUAGGACCCUGGGAUGCAUGUCCUGGGGUGGAAAGCUUUUGCGGUGUGGGAUGGGCCCGCGGCCUAUCAGCUUGGUGGUGGGGUGAUGGCCUACCAAGGCGACGACGGGUAGCCGGCCUGAGAGGGUGACCGGCCACACUGGGACUGAGAUACGGCCCAGACUCCUACGGGAGGCAGCAGUGGGGAAUAUUGCACAAUGGGCGCAAGCCUGAUGCAGCGACCCCGCGUGAGGGAUGACGGCCUUCGGGUUGUAAACCUCUUUCAGCACCGACGAAGCGCAAGUGACGGUAGGUGCAGAAGAAGGACCGGCCAACUACGUGCCAGCCGCCGCAGUAA
rnacentral:rRNA from 1 species